GGAACUGGCGGCGUGCUACCAUGCAAGUCGAACGAUGAACCGCUUUCGGGCGGGGAUUAGUGGCGAACGGGUGAGUAACACGUGGGCAAUCUGCCCUGCACUCUGGGACAAGCCCUGGAAACGGGGUCUAAUACCGGAUAUGACCGUCUGCCGCAUGGUGGAUGGUGUAAAGCUCCGGCGGUGCAGGAUGAGCCCGCGGCCUAUCAGCUUGUUGGUGAGGUAGUGGCUCACCAAGGCGACGACGGGUAGCCGGCCUGAGAGGGCGACCGGCCACACUGGGACUGAGACACGGCCCAGACUCCUACGGGAGGCAGCAGUGGGGAAUAUUGCACAAUGGGCGAAAGCCUGAUGCAGCGACGCCGCGUGAGGGAUGACGGCCUUCGGGUUGUAAACCUCUUUCAGCAGGGAAGAAGCGAAAGUGACGGUACCUGCAGAAGAAGCGCCGGCUAACUACGUGCCAGCAGCCGCGGUAAUACGUAGGGCGCAAGCGUUGUCCGGAAUUAUUGGGCGUAAAGAGCUCGUAGGCGGCUUGUCACGUCGGUUGUGAAAGCCCGGGGCUUAACCCCGGGUCUGCAGUCGAUACGGGCAGGCUAGAGUUCGGUAGGGGAGAUCGGAAUUCCUGGUGUAGCGGUGAAAUGCGCAGAUAUCAGGAGGAACACCGGUGGCGAAGGCGGAUCUCUGGGCCGAUACUGACGCUGAGGAGCGAAAGCGUGGGGAGCGAACAGGAUUAGAUACCCUGGUAGUCCACGCCGUAAACGGUGGGCACUAGGUGUGGGCAACAUUCCACGUUGUCCGUGCCGCAGCUAACGCAUUAAGUGCCCCGCCUGGGGAGUACGGCCGCAAGGCUAAAACUCAAAGGAAUUGACCGGGC
rnacentral:rRNA from 1 species